rnacentral:rRNA from 1 species
GACAGAGGGUGCAAACGUUGUUCGGAAUUACUGGGCGUAAAGCGCGUGUAGGCGGCCCUGCAAGUCGGAUGUGAAAUCCCACGGCUCAACCGUGGAAGUGCAUUCGAAACUGCAGGGCUAGAGUCCUGGAGAGGAUCGUGGAAUUCUCGGUGUAGAGGUGAAAUUCGUAGAUAUCGAGAGGAACACCGGUGGCGAAGGCGGGUCUCUGGGCCGAUACUGACGCUGAGGAGCGAAAGCGUGGGGAGCGAACAGG